rnacentral:tRNA from 1 species
GUGGGCGUAGCUCAAUGGGCAGAGCGCCUGUCUGUGGAACAGGUGGUUGAGGGUUCAAGUCCCUUCGCCCACC